GUAUGGUCCCAGUGCAGUGGUGGUUACAACUAAUCACGACCAGUUACAAAGUCCUUUGUUCCUUCUCCACUCCCACUGCUUCCCUUAACUAGCCUUAA
rnacentral:Y_RNA from 1 species